rnacentral:rRNA from 1 species
UACGGAGGGGGCUAGCGUUGCUCGGAAUCACUGGGCGUAAAGCGUACGUAGGCGGCUUUUUAAGUCAGGGGUGAAAUCCUGGAGCUCAACUCCAGAACUGCCUUUGAUACUGAGAAGCUUGAGUCCGGGAGAGGUGAGUGGAACUGCGAGUGUAGAGGUGAAAUUCGUAGAUAUUCGCAAGAACACCGGUGGCGAAGGCGGAUCUCUGGGCCUGUCCUGACGCUGAGGCGCGAAAGCUAGGGGAGCGAACAGG